rnacentral:misc_RNA from 1 species
CUCAUCUACAACACAGACGAGAGAAUAGCGGUAAUAUGAAUACGUA